rnacentral:other from 1 species
UUUUUCCUGCCCUGUUCGAGAUAGAGAUGAGCGUAAAAACCCACAAAGAGUAAAAUGGAGCCCGGACUUCCGGCAUGGGGUAUGCAGACCUCCCUCCGUUGCCGCGAGACGCAUUCUGCGCCGCCGCUUCGACAGGAUGCUGGGAGCACAAACUGUCGGAGAGGGCACCGCCCUUGCAUAAGCAGGGUUUCUAUAUGCUUGUCUUGAAACGGCAGGGCGGGUUUUUU